UGCAGCCGAGCGGUAGAGAUCUUUCGGGAUCUUGAGAGCGGCGUACGGGUGCGNNACACGUGUGCAACCUGCCUUUAUCAGGGGGAUAGCCUUUCGAAAGGAAGAUUAAUACCCCAUAAUAUAGUUGAUGGCAUCAUUGAUUAUUGAAAACUGAGGUGGAUAGAGAUGGGCACGCGCAAGAUUAGAUAGUUGGUAGGGUAACGGCCUACCAAGUCAGUGAUCUUUAGGGGGCCUGAGAGGGUGAUCCCCCACACUGGUACUGAGACACGGACCAGACUCCUACGGGAGGCAGCAGUGAGGAAUAUUGGACAAUGGGUGAGAGCCUGAUCCAGCCAUCCCGCGUGAAGGACGACGGCCCUAUGGGUUGUAAACUUCUUUUGUACAGGGAUAAACCUUUCCACGUGUGGAAAGCUGAAGGUACUGUACGAAUAAGCACCGGCUAACUCCGUGCCAGCAGCCGCGGUAAUACGGAGGGUGCAAGCGUUAUCCGGAUUUAUUGGGUUUAAAGGGUCCGUAGGCGGAUCUGUAAGUCAGUGGUGAAAUCUCAUAGCUUAACUAUGAAACUGCCAUUGAUACUGCAGGUCUUGAGUAAGGUAGAAGUAGCUGGAAUAAGUAGUGUAGCGGUGAAAUGCAUAGAUAUUACUUAGAACACCAAUUGCGAAGGCAGGUUACUAUGUCUUAACUGACGCUGAUGGACGAAAGCGUGGGGAGCGAACAGGAUUAGAUACCCUGGUAGUCCACGCCGUAAACGAUGCUAACUCGUUUUUGGGUUUUCGGAUUCAGAGACUAAGCGAAAGUGAUAAGUUAGCCACCUGGGGAGUACGAACGCAAGUUUGAAACUCAAAGGAAUUGACGGGGGCCCGCACAAGCGGUGGAUUAUGUGGUUUAAUUCGAUGAUACGCGAGGAACCUUACCAAGACUUAAAUGGGAAUUGACCGGUUUAGAAAUAGACCUUCCUUCGGGCAAUUUUCAAGGUGCUGCAUGGUUGUCGUCAGCUCGUGCCGUGAGGUGUUAGGUUAAGUCCUGCAACGAGCGCAACCCCUGUCACUAGUUGCCAUCAUUCAGUUGGGGACUCUAGUGAGACUGCCUACGCAAGUAGAGAGGAAGGUGGGGAUGACGUCAAAUCAUCACGGCCCUUACGUCUUGGGCCACACACGUAAUACAAUGGCCGGUACAGAGGGCAGCUACACAGCGAUGUGAUGCAAAUCUCGAAAGCCGGUCUCAGUUCGGAUUGGAGUCUGCAACUCGACUCUAUGAAGCUGGAAUCGCUAGUAAUCGCGCAUCAGCCAUGGCGCGGUGAAUACGUUCCCGGGCCUUGUACACACCGCCCGUCAAGCCAUGGAAGUCUGGGGUACCUGAAGUCGGUGACCGUAACAGGAGC
rnacentral:rRNA from 1 species